rnacentral:rRNA from 1 species
GCCAGCAGCCAUAUCACCCUGCAACUCACAGCUGGCAGUCCACUGAAGCCCAGCAGGUGUGAGCCUGGCUAGUACCUGGAUGGGAGACCUCCUGGGAAAGCUAAGGCUGCUGCUGGAA